rnacentral:rRNA from 1 species
CAGCCGCCACGGUAAUACGUAGGGUGCGAGCGUUAAUCGGAAUUACUGGGCGUAAAGCGUGCGCAGGCGGUUAUAUAAGACAGAUGUGAAAUCCCCGGGCUCAACCUGGGACCUGCAUUUGUGACUGUAUAGCUAGAGUACGGUAGAGGGGGAUGGAAUUUCGCGUGUAGCAGCGAAAUGCGUAGAUAUGCGGAGGAACACCGAUGGCGAAGGCAAUCCCCUGGACCUGUACUGACGCUCAUGCACGAAAGCGUGGGGAGCAAACAGGAUUAGAUACCCCCGUAGUCCCUGUCUCUUAUAC